rnacentral:tRNA from 1 species
GCCCCUGUGGUGAAAUGGUAGACGCGCCGGAUUCAAAAUCCGGUACCGAGAGGUGUGUCAGUUCGAGUCUGACCAGGGGCA